AGAGGAGAGCUGGAGUCAAAUGCUCACUUAUCUGCAAAGCUAACUGGGUGACCUCGGACCACUCACUCUCCCACAGUCUGCUGAGAAAGAGAGGAAAGGAAUGUAUGUUGAUCUCAGAACUGGGAAGGAAGCUGUAUUGCAGUUGGCUGCCAUAGACGAGGGUCCGGCCAUCUCAUCAACUGGCUUUUGGCUGGCAGUGGCACUACCUGGAAAUCAUGGAGCUGGAGUGAGACUGGCCGGAAGAGGUUGUAGCAGCACUGAGCUGAGAAAAUCCGCUGUGACUUGAUUCAAGGCUGCUCAUGGACCCUCUGCAAAAGAGACAAUAGUAAGUUCUUCUGCUGUACGGUAUAGAGAUUUGGGAACCAGCCCACCUUCUGGAACUUCACACUUCAGAGAUUUAAUUAAGUUGGAGGAGAGAGAAAAAUCAGAAUUGGAUCUCUACUCAAACAGAUCACACCUCAGAAAGAAUCUGCUCAGAAGUAAAGCUCUUAAUGAAUGUCUUCCAAACACUUUCGUAUUUUCUUCGCAUCUCCUCAGUCCUUCUUCAUUAAUAGAGAGAACCUAAA